rnacentral:rRNA from 1 species
UGGGGAAUAUUGCACAAUGGGCGCAAGCCUGAUGCAGCCAUGCCGCGUGUAUGAAGAAGGACUUCGGGUUGUAAAGUACUUUCAGCGGGGAGGAAGGCGAUAAGGUUAAUAACCUUGUCGAUUGACGUUACCCGCAGAAGAAGCACCGGCUAACUCCGUGCCAGCAGCCGCGGUAAUACGGAGGGUGCAAGCGUUAAUCGGAAUGACUGGGCGUAAAGCGCACGCAGGCGGUCUGUCAAGUCGGAUGUGAAAUCCCCGGGCUCAACCUGGGAACUGCAUUCGAAACUGGCAGGCUAGAGUCUUGUAGAGGGGGGUAGAAUUCCAGGUGUAGCGGUGAAAUGCGUAGAGAUCUGGAGGAAUACCGGUGGCGAAGGCGGCCCCCUGGACAAAGACUGACGCUCAGGUGCGAAAGCGUGGGGAGCAAACA